rnacentral:rRNA from 1 species
CUACGGGAGGCAGCAGUGGGGAAUUGUUCGCAAUGGGCGCAAGCCUGACGACGCAACGCCGCGUGGAGGAUGAAGAUCUUCGGGUCGUAAACUCCUUUCGAUUGGGACGAAUUCCUUCCGGAUGAACAAGCUGGGAGGUUGACGGUACCGAGAGAAGAAGCCCCGGCUAACUCCGUGCCAGCAGCCGCGGUAAUACGGGGGGGGCAAGCGUUGUUCGGAAUUACUGGGCGUAAAGGGCUCGUAGGCUGCCAACUAAGUCAGACGUGAAAUCCCUCGGCUUAACCGGGGAACUGCGUCUGAUACUGGUUGGCUUGAGUUUGGGAGAGGGAUGCGGAAUUCCAGGUGUAGCGGUGAAAUGCGUAGAUAUCUGGAGGAACACCGGUGGCGAAGGCGGCAUCCUGGACCAACACUGACGCUGAGGAGCGAAAGCCAGGGGAGCAAACGGGAUUAGAUACCCUGGUAGA